GUAAGAGGAAAACUGAAAACGGUAUCAACGACACGUUUUGCCUCGCUUGGCUACGUCGUCGUUUGGCAGACAAAGAGAGAGAGCUGCCCCCGGCCCCGGCCAGGAGGCACCCGGAGGCCUCAUCUGGGACCCAGCCGUCCUCAUCUGGGACCCAGCAGUCCUCCUCUCGGAGCCAGCCGUCCUUCUAGACUCCUGGGUAGACAAAACGUCCAGGUGAAGACGGCCCAGCACCUGGACCUGGGAGCCCAGCUUAUCUCCCCACCAGGACAUGUUGAAGUGGUGCAGAGAGUCUGUGUUUGCAGAGAGGUGGCCCGCCUGGUGAACAGGAGACCCAGGACGGCCUGCCUCCUCCCAAGGUUUCUGAGUCUCAGGAGGAACCUCUUCCUCCUCCUUACAGUCGCCCGGUGGCUCGUCUGUGGCACUAAAUCAGUUUGUUGACAAGCCAAAGGAGGGAGCUCCCAGCUGCUUGCCAAUUCAGUCUGUGUUUGGAUCCUACGUUUAAACACGCUUCUCCAUUUGCUGCUUUAUCGGACCCGACUCUGAGGGAUGUAGCUUUGCAUAAGCUAGAUAAAGAGCUCUCUGCUAUCUCUGUUGCCAAUGCAUUAUGGAGCAUUGUCAAAGAGACUUCCCCUUGAGCUUCAUAAAUGAAACCAUUGGAAGAAUGAGACAAAACUCAUUUAUUCAAUGAUCAUCUGACUAUAAUGUAUUAUCAUAUAGAUUUUGGUCUGUUUUGCUAUAUAGUGACAUUUAGCUGUGGAGGCAUAAUUUUUCAAUCAAACGAAUGGUUUAAUAUGUCUGGGAAUAUCAUUUGGCCUCAUGUGGGCCAUUAAUCAAGUUGUUGACCUAGAGAUAGUCUACCCAAGGUCGCAGCUCCACCCAGGCUGAUCAGGCCAUAGGUCAGAGGUGACCGGGGUGAUCAUAAUGUGUGGGCUGUUAAAUGAAUCACAUGGAUGCUUUUGUUUUCUAUGUAUCCUGCUCAUUUCUUUGAUUUGUUUUAAAUACAUUGUGGAAUUGUCACGGCAACAAAGGAGAGAGACGCUUUUGGGUGGAACACAAAUUAUUUCAUGAUUUGAUUGGGUUUUUGAUUGGGGGCAGAAAUAGGGCAGAAAUUUAAAUUUACCUAAUCCUGGAAUCCUCUCAAAUUUGUCAUACACUUAGCGAAGGCUCACUAGUGUCGUGCACAUAACAACAAACCGUGUGUUAAUAGCAUGUUGGUGUGUAGUUUGUGCGACAUUUGAGCGAUGUGCUUCAUCUCUUUCUCUGUCCGCCACACCAACGUCUUUUGCAAGCGGUCCAACGCAUGCGCAUCAAGCUUCUUCCAGGAAACACUAACGUUUUGAUUUGAUCUGUACACUUGUGAAAGAUUAUUCUAAUAAAAGAUUAUUU
ensembl:lncRNA